GACGAACCGUGCGAACGUUAUUCGGAAUCACUGGGCUUAAAGCGCGUGUAGGCGGGUCGCCGCGUCGGCUGCUGAAAUCCCCCGGCUCAACCGGGGAACGGGCACCGAUACGGGCGGCCUGGAGGGGGGUAGGGGGGCCUGGGAACGUUCCGGUGGAGCGGUGAAAUGCGUUGAGAUCGGAAGGAACGCCCGUGGCGAAAGCGAGGCCCUGGACCCUUACUGACGCUGAGACG
rnacentral:rRNA from 1 species